GAGGGUAUAGCUCAGUGGUAGGGUCCAGGCUUAGCAUUCACGAGGUCCUGGGUUCAAUCCCCAGUACCUCCA
rnacentral:tRNA from 1 species